CUGGGUUUCGGACCUCGUGUCCACUCACCCGCCCUUUGUCAUAUAUAUCCACAUCAUUUCGGCCCUUUGGCUCUCGGGCGCCCCCGCUAUUAACUUAGCGGGGUACCGCCGGUUGGCCGCGGGUCGGCAUUGCAAACCCACAUGGAUUUCUGAAGUCUGAUACAAUUUUUUAAACGAAAUUA
rnacentral:misc_RNA from 1 species